GACGAACGCUGGCGGCGUGCCUAACACAUGCAAGUCGAGCGAAUGAAGUUCCUUCGGGAAUGGAUUUAGCGGCGGACGGGUGAGUAACACGUGGGCAACCUGCAUCAUAGAGGGGAAUAGCCUUCCGAAAGGGAGAUUAAUACCGCAUAAGAUUGUAGUACCGCAUGGUACAGCAAUUAAAGGAGCAAUCCGCUAUGAGAUGGGCCCGCGGCGCAUUAGCUAGUUGGUGAGGUAAUGGCUAACCAAGGCGACGAUGCGUAGCCGACCUGAGAGGGUGAUCGGCCACAUUGGGACUGGGACACGGCCCAGACUCCUACGGGAGGCAGCAGUGGGGAAUAUUGCACAAUGGGGGAAACCCUGAUGCAGCAACGCCGCGUGAGUGAUGACGGCCUUCGGGUUGUAAAGCUCUGUCUUCAGGGACGAUAAUGACGGUACCUGAGGAGGAAGCCACGGCUAACUACGUGCCAGCAGCCGCCGUAAAAC
rnacentral:rRNA from 1 species